rnacentral:rRNA from 1 species
AACGAACGCUGGCGGCAGGCUUAACACAUGCAAGUCGAACGCAUCCUUCGGGGUGAGUGGCAGACGGGUGAGUAACGCGUGGGAACGUGCCCUUCAGUUCGGGAUAACCCAGGGAAACUUGGGCUAAUACCGGAUACGUGCGGGAGCAGAAAGAUUUAUCGCUGAAGGACCGGCCCGCGUCUGAUUAGCUAGUUGGUGGGGUAAUGGCCCACCAAGGCGACGAUCAGUAGCUGGUCUGAGAGGAUGAUCAGCCACAUUGGGACUGAGACACGGCCCAAACUCCUACGGGAGGCAGCAGUGGGGAAUAUUGGACAAUGGGCGCAAGCUUGAUCCAGCCAUGCCGCGUGAGUGAUGAAGGCCUUAGGGUUGUAAAGCUCUUUCGUCCGGGACGAUAAUGACGGUACCGGAAGAAGAAGCCCCGGCUAACUUCGUGCCAGCCGCCGCCGUAAGAC